UACGUAGGGGGCUAGCGUUGUCCGGAAUCAUUGGGCGUAAAGCGCGUGUAGGCGGCCCGGUAAGUCCGCUGUGAAAGUCGGGGGCUCAACCCUCGGAUGCCGGUGGAUACUGUCGGGCUAGAGUACGGAAGAGGCGAGUGGAAUUCCUGGUGUAGCGGUGAAAUGCGCAGAUAUCAGGAGGAACACCAAUUGCGAAGGCAGCUCGCUGGGACGUCACUGACGCUGAGACGCGAAAGCCAGGGGAGCAAACGGG
rnacentral:rRNA from 1 species